GAUGAACGCUGGCGGCGUGCUUAACACAUGCAAGUCGAACGAAGCGCUUAAACGGAUUUCUUCGGAAUGAAGUUUUUGCGACUGAGUGGCGGACGGGUGAGUAACGCGUGGGUAACCUGCCUCAUACAGGGGGAUAACAGUUAGAAAUGACUGCUAAUACCGCAUGAGACCACAGCACCGCAUGGUGCAGGGGUAAAAACUCCGGUGGUAUGAGAUGGACCCGCGUCUGAUUAGGUAGUUGGUGGGGUAACCGGCCUACCAAGCCGACGAUCAGUAGCCGACCUGAGAGGGUGGACGGCCACACUGGGACUGAGACACGGCCCAG
rnacentral:rRNA from 1 species